AGCCCUCGUCCUUCGCCGUCGUCCGUGUCUGGGAGGCGCUGGCGUCGCUCGCCGCGAGGGUGCGCUAGCGCCGGGGGCGCGAGGCGCACAAAAGCGAGACGUGGUCCGCGCAGUUGAAGCCGGCGCGCUAGGUGUCCCGCGCGGUUUGUCAAGUGUCGGCGAUGCGCAAAUGCGUGCUUUCAGUUUACGCAGUCGCAGCAACGUGAACGUCAGCCUAUAGGCAAGACAAGAACAUCAGAAGACGCCUGAGAAUUUCUCACCCGAGAGCUAUUGAUACUGUCUGGCGCCGUGGCUGCGAAUGAAAACUACCUGCCAAAACAUGCAUGCCGGCGUGGUCGUCCUGCACAGCGCCUCGUCCGAAGCGAUCCAGAGUGCAGGUCUGCUACUGGAUGGACCAACGGGAACAGCUGUCAGCUGACCACCUUCGACAAAACUUUGCGAGGCUGUUGCGAGGACAAAUGAAAACUAAAACUUUCCAUUCAAAGUUCUUCCCUGCGUGUGAAAAAACACAACGCCAAGCAUAUGGUGCAAUUCCAUGAUCAUCCGUAUGAUGUAUUGGGCACUAAGGACAAGGACAUUGCAUAAGGAUGCACAACAUGGUGCCCUACAAUGCUGAAAGCCUGACUGGUACUAAGGCAGUGUACUAGCUUGUGAGUUCCCGAGGGUUUUUCUGACAACAAUAGCGUCACCAGCCCACACUUCACCGACGACCAAUGCGAGCGCGAAGCUUUACGCUGGCAUUAAGGGUUGGCUGGCGAUGCGAAUGACCUACAUCGGCCGACAGCGAUGUCACUGUGUUGGCACGCGGUGAACGUGGGGUGGUGCCAAAGUGAUCACGUUGAAGAUAGUCGUACAUACGCUCCUUAAGCAAACAAGUAAAGAUUCAAUAACACCAACUCGCAGCCCUAUUCCCCUUCCCUUUGUUCCUUGUCAUAUUGGUUAUGUGGUAUUAAGCGACAUGCGCACUAAAAAUCACUUUCAAUGUUUCUGAAAUG